CCCGCUCAGAAACUUAAAGGAAUUGACGGGGGCCCGCACAAGCGGUGGAGCAUGUGGUUUAAUUCGAUGAUACGCGAGGAACCUUACCUGGGCUCAAAUGUAUGUUGACGUAUUCUGAAAGGGAUACUUCUUCGGACAAUAUACAAGGUGCUGCAUGGUUGUCGUCAGCUCGUGCCGUGAGGUGUCGGGUUAAGUCCCAUAACGAGCGCAACCCCUAUCAUUAGUUGCCAUCAGGUCAAGCUGGGGACUCUAAUGAAACUGCCUACGCAAGUAGUGAGGAAGGUGGGGAUGACGUCAAAUCAGCACGGCCCUUACGUCCAGGGCUACACACGUGCUACAAUGGCCGGUACAAAGGGCAGCUACCUGGUGACAGGAUGCUAAUCUCAAAAGCCGGUCUCAGUUCGGAUCGGAGUCUGCAACCCGACUCCGUGAAGCUGGGAUCGCUAGUAAUCGCGCAUCAGCCAUGGCGCGGUGAAUACGUUCCCGGGCCUU
rnacentral:rRNA from 1 species